AUUAAACUGAAGAGUUUGAUCCUGGCUCAGAUUGAACGCUGGCGGUAUGCUUUACACAUGCAAGUCGAACGGGCUUGGGGGCUUGCUCCCGGGUUAGUGGCGAACGGGUGAGUAAUAUAUCGGAACAUAUCCGGAAGUGGGGGAUAACGUAGCGAAAGUUACGCUAAUACCGCAUAUGCCCUGAGGGGGAAAGGGGGGGAUCGCAAGACCUCUCGCUUUCGGAGUGGCCGAUACCGGAUUAGCUAGAUGGUGAGGUAAAGGCUCACCAUGGCGACGAUCCGUAGCGGGUCUGAGAGGACGACCCGCCACACUGGAACUGAGACACGGUCCAGACUCCUACGGGAGGCAGCAGUGGGGAAUUUUGGACAAUGGGCGCAAGCCUGAUCCAGCCAUACCGCGUGAGUGAAGAAGGCCUUCGGGUUGUAAAGCUCUUUCAGCCGGAAAGAAAUUGCUUCUAUUAAUACUAGGGGUAGAUGACGGUACCGGAAGAAGAAGCACCGGCUAACUACGUGCCAGCAGCCGCGGUAAUACGUAGGGUGCGAGCGUUAAUCGGAAUUACUGGGCGUAAAGCGUGCGCAGGCGGUU
rnacentral:rRNA from 1 species